rnacentral:rRNA from 1 species
CAGACCUCUGAUCAGAGAAGACUACCCGCUGAGUUU